UGUCCAGGCUAUGCUGUCCCUGGCCAUGGCGCAUCAAAGUUUAUUCCCCUGGUAGUUCUGGAAUCUCAAUCCGAACACCCAGGAAUAAAUUCCACUCUUCUCAAACCAGAAAGAGUGGAUUCUGGUGUCUGCGACUAAUCACUGCGACUGGAUACAAAUUCAGAUUCUGAAAUCACCUCUAUUGUGUUUUCUCGUGUGGAAGAAAUACAGAAAAGCUUAAGAAAAACAAGUAUAAAUCAUCUGCAAUCCCACCACCUGGAGCCUGUGGUGGUGUCUGCACAUAUAAAGAAGUAGCCACCUCUUCCAGUAUUUUUGGACAGGAUUUGGGAAGAAAAGACCUUCAUCAGACAGCCUGCCUAAAGAUUCUGGAGAUCUCUCAAACCUUUUCUAUGGACCACUCCACUUCCACUACAUUCUGGGGAGCUGCUCUCCGAUGAUCCAAGCCAUACCAAUUUCCUCAGUGCUCUAAUGUGCCAAGUUUGACUGAUGCUGGAUUUUGUGGUCCACUGGGGUGCUGAUACCUUCAACUGAACUCCAGAGCUCUCAAAAAGCCUACAAGGCCGGAGGAGUCUGGGGACUGCUCGUUUCUCCAGCUUCCUCAGCAUCCAGCUUCCUCCUGGCUCACCCUGCUCCAGCCACACAUCUCCCAAACAGCUAAUCUCCCCACCUCCAACAUGCUGUAAUGGAUCCAAGGCUGGACAUGUGACCUGGGCCCAGCAAACCCAUGCCAGGACUUGCCACAGAACUUUUGUGAACGAGAACCUCUCUUCCCUUGGGGAGCUGUUGGGGCUACCAUCCGCAACAAACUGACUAGACAGUGAGGCCAACAUGGAAAGCAGAGGGCGAAGGUAACUCCUGAUGACACAACGUGAGUUGCUGGGUAAAACCGGACCCGAUGCUGUUUUGACUUGGAUGGGAGUGGACUACAGGGAGCUGGGACCAAAGCCAGCAAAGCAACACACGAGCUUGAGCACUGAUGUUCGUGCAUGUCAGUGUGUUCAGCAUAAACUAUGGAGGGAAGAGGACUCCAGAAAGAGAACCCCUAAGAGCGUGCAUGCACACAUCACGCUCACAGUUCAGGCCACAAUAGUGCGGGUCAUGGCAGGGGGCUGGGAGGACCUACAGUCAACAGAGGAAGGUCUGCUCUAGCUGAAUAGGAGGUUUUACCACAUUGUAGGCAUCUCUGUAUGAUACGCAAUUAGCUUUGAAACAAGAAUAAAAAUAAGGCAUCAGUCAGCUAUAAAGUAGCUUAAUGGGUACAUGAAUCAAAACAGCAUUUAAAUAUGG